AAUGAAGCGACAUUGAACGUCUCAAUGCUCCUGCGUUUUUAAACCACAGAGGCGCAGGACUAGUAAUCAAACCAUUCAGGGAAAACUAAUCGAGCGAGGCAUCCUGACCGUGAAGGUGGAAUAACUGUGAACACACCUGCUGAUCCACGUACACUUUCCCAGAGAAGAACCGUUUAAAGCAGUCCAGCUCCUUGCCUAGGUUUUCUUUCACCACGGCAAAAAGAGGCACCUCGAGUUCCUGCAGCUGGGACUUUAGAGAGGACAGCUCAGCAGCCUCCUGCAAAGACAGCACAGACAAAAUCAAAAAGAUCUGAGUUUUGGCCUUGUGUCGUUCAUGGACUGACAGAGGGAGAGAAUCAACGCAUUUAUUAUGUUCCCUGAGGCAAGU